GAUGAAGAACGCAGCGAAAUGCGAUAAGUAGUGUGAAUUGCAGAAUUUAGUGAAUCAUCGAAUCUUUGAACGCACAUUGCGCCCUUUGGUAUUCCUUAGGGCAUGCCUGUUCGAGCGUCAUCUACACCCUCAAGCACAGCUUGGUGAUGGGCGCCUGUCCCGCCCCCCACGGGGGCGCGGACUCGCCUCAAAUGCAUUGGCGGCCGGCGACCUGGCUUCGAGCGCAGCAGAAACGCGUACUCGGGGAGCGGGCGCCCGCUCCCAGAAGCCAACCCACCCAGUUUGACCUCGGAUCAGGUAGGGAUACCCGCUGAACUUAAGCAUAUCAAUAAGCGGAGGA
rnacentral:misc_RNA from 1 species